AUUCCAUGGUGAGGGCAGGCCAGAGAUACUCUUGGAAGUGCUCCCAUGCCUUAGGGAUUGACUCACUUGACGCCUGCUAGAAAUUGGUUAUCCUUCCACGAAGGGC
rnacentral:snoRNA from 1 species